rnacentral:rRNA from 1 species
UACGGAGGGAGCUAGCGUUGUUCGGAAUUACUGGGCGUAAAGCGCACGUAGGCGGCUUUGUAAGUUAGAGGUGAAAGCCCGGGGCUCAACUCCGGAACUGCCUUUAAGACUGCAUCGCUUGAAUCCAGGAGAGGUGAGUGGAAUUCCGAGUGUAGAGGUGAAAUUCGUAGAUAUUCGGAAGAACACCAGUGGCGAAGGCGGCUCACUGGACUGGUAUUGACGCUCAUGCACGAAAGCGUGGGGAGCAAACAGG